GACGAACGCUGGCGGCGUGCCUAAUACAUGCAAGUAGAACGCUGAAGAGAGGAGCUUGCUCUUCUUGGAUGAGUUGCGAACGGGUGAGUAACGCGUAGGUAACCUGCCUUGUAGCGGGGGAUAACUAUUGGAAACGAUAGCUAAUACCGCAUAACAAUGGAUGACACAUGUCAUUUAUUUGAAAGGGGCAAUUGCUCCACUACAAGAUGGACCUGCGGUGUAUUAGCUAGUAGGUGAGGUAACGGCGCACCUAGGCGACGAUCCAUAGCCGACCUGAGAGGGUGCUCGGCCACACUGGGACUGAGACACGGCCCAGACUCCUACGGGAGGCAGCAGUAGGGAAUCUUCGGCAAUGGGUGCAACCCUGACCGAGCAACGCCGCGUGAGUGCAGAAGGUUUUCGGAUCGUAAAGCUCUGUUGUAAGUCAAGAACGAGUGUGAGAGUGGAAAGUUCACACUGUGACGGUAGCUUACCAGAAAGGGACGGCUAACUACGUG
rnacentral:rRNA from 1 species